rnacentral:misc_RNA from 1 species
GUAGGUGAACCUGCGGAAGGAUCAUUACUAGAGCAAAGGACAGGCAGCGCCCCACAGAAGCUUGCUUCGUGGAGGGCUACCCUACUUCGGUAGGGUUUAGAGCCGUAGCACCUCUCGGAGAAGUGCUGUCCUGAACUCCACCCUUGAAUAAAUUACCUUUGUUGCUUUGGCGGGCCGCCUAGCGCCAGCGGCUUCGGCUGUUGAGUGCCCGCCAGAGGACCACAACUCUUGUUUUUAGUGAUGUCUGAGUACUAUAUAAUAGUUAAAACUUUCAACAACGGAUCUCUUGGUUCUG